AACGAACGCUGGCGGCAUGCCUAACACAUGCAAGUCGAACGAGACCUUCGGGUCUAGUGGCGCACGGGUGCGUAACGCGUGGGAACCUGCCCUUAGGUUCGGAAUAACUCCCCGAAAGGGGUGCUAAUACCGGAUAAUGUCUUCGGACCAAAGAUUUAUCGCCUUUGGAUGGGCCCGCGUUGGAUUAGCUAGUUGGUAGGGUAAAAGCCUACCAAGGCGACGAUCCAUAGCUGGUCUGAGAGGAUGAUCAGCCACACUGGGACUGAGACACGGCCCAGACUCCUGCGGGAGGCAGCAGUGGGGAAUAUUGGACAAUGGGCGAAAGCAUGAUCCAGCAAUGCCGCGUGAGUGAUGAAGGCCUGAGGGUUGUAAAGCUCUUUUACCCGGGAUGAUAAUGACAGUACCGGGAGAAUAAGCUCCGGCUAACUCCGUG
rnacentral:rRNA from 1 species